rnacentral:rRNA from 1 species
AUCAGUGUGUGUGUUAGUGGAAGCGUCUGGAAAGGCGCGCGAUACAGGGUGACAGCCCCGUACACAAAAAUGCACAUGCUGUGAGCUCGAUGAGUAGGGCGGGACACGUGGUAUCCUGUCUGAAUAUGGGGGGACCAUCCUCCAAGGCUAAAUACUCCUGACUGACCGAUAGUGAACCAGUACCGUGAGGGAAAGGCGAAAAGAACCCCGGCGAGGGGAGUGAAAAAGAACCUGAAACCGUGUACGUACAAGCAGUGGGAGCCUCUUAAUGGGGUGACUGCGUACCUUUUGUAUAAUGGGUCAGCGACUUAUAUUCUGUAGCAAGGUUAACCGAAUAGGGGAGCCGAAGGGAAACCGAGUCUUAACUGGGCGUUAAGUUGCAGGGUAUAGACCCGAAACCCGGUGAUCUAGCCAUGGGCAGGUUGAAGGUUGGGUAACACUAACUGGAGG